AAUGGGCCAGGUAGGUUAAUUACCCAUAGAUAAAUUAAAGACCCAUAGCCCAUUACAGGCCCAAUAAUACCCAUAGAAGGACCAACAGCCCAUUACCCAUGGAUCCGGGUGAAAACGUUGUUGCUGCUUCUCGUUGUCGAUAAUUUUUGAAAGCAUCGCUGGGUCUCCCUCAAUCUCCACCAAGACGGCGGUGAAGACGGCAGCGACGGCGAGUGGCGGAGGAUUCUCCGCUGGUGGGUGAGGAUUCCGCCGAAUUCAUCUUGUCCGAGGCUCGGACUCCGAGCAAAAUUUCUGGUUUUGAGUGACGGCGAGUGGCGGAGGAUUCUGCUAAAUUUUACUCUGGUUUUGGGCGUCAAGCGUUUCCGGCAGCCCCAAGGUUCGAACGUGAGUUGAUUCUACAAUAUUAAAUCUUCUUUUCUUUUCACUUCUUUUUAUCAUCUCUUUCUCUUUUGCAUUUCCCCCCUUUCUUUAUCGAAUGGCUGAUGCCAAGAUAUGGAAUUUAAUAAUAGUUGAUUAUUAUUGGC
rnacentral:lncRNA from 1 species